rnacentral:rRNA from 1 species
AGGGAAACCGAGUCUUAACUGGGCGUUAAGUUGCAGGGUAUAGACCCGAAACCCGGUGAUCUAGCCAUGGGCAGGUUGAAGGUUGGGUAACACUAACUGGAGGACCGAACCGACUAAUGUUGAAAAAUUAGCGGAUGACUUGUGGCUGGGGGUGAAAGGCCAAUCAAACCGGGAGAUAGCUGGUUCUCCCCGAAAGCUAUUUAGGUAGCGCCUCGUGAAUUCAUCUCCGGGGGUAGAGCACUGUUUCGGCAAGGGGGUCAUCCCGACUUACCAACCCGAUGCAAACUGCGAAUACCGGAGAAUGUUAUCACGGGAGACACACGGCGGGUGCUAACGUCCGUCGUGAAGAGGGAAACAACCCAGACCGCCAGCUAAGGUCCCAAAGUCAUGGUUAAGUGGGAAACGAUGUGGGAAGGCCCAGACAGCCAGGAUGUUGGCUUAGAAGCAGCCAUCAUUUAAAGAAAGCGUAAUAGCUCACUGGUCGAGUCGGCCUGCGCGGAAGAUGUAACGGGGCUAAACCAUGCACCGAAGCUGCGGCAGCGACACUGUGUGUUGUUGGGUAGGGGAGCGUUCUGUAAGCCUGUGAAGGUGUACUGUGAGGUAUGCUGGAGGUAUCAGAAGUGCGAAUGCUGACAUAAGUAACGAUAAAGCGGGUGAAAAGCCCGCUCGCCGGAAGACCAAGGGUUCCUGUCCAACGUUAAUCGGGGCAGGGUGAGUCGACCCCUAAGGCGAGGCCGAAAGGCGUAGUCGAUGGGAAACAGGUUAAUAUUCCUGUACUUGGUGUUACUGCGAAGGGGGGACGGAGAAGGCUAUGUUGGCCGGGCGACGGUUGUCCCGGUUUAAGCGUGUAGGCUGGUUUUCCAGGCAAAUCCGGAAAAUCAAGGCUGAGGCGUGAUGACGAGGCACUACGGUGCUGAAGCAACAAAUGCCCUGCUUCCAGGAAAAGCCUCUAAGCAUCAGGUAACAUCAAAUCGUACCCCAAACCGACACAGGUGGUCAGGUAGAGAAUACCAAGGCGCUUGAGAGAACUCGGGUGAAGGAACUAGGCAAAAUGGUGCCGUAACUUCGGGAGAAGGCACGCUGAUAUGUAGGUGAAGUCCCUCGCGGAUGGAGCUGAAAUCAGUCGAAGAUACCAGCUGGCUGCAACUGUUUAUUAAAAACACAGCACUGUGCAAACACGAAAGUGGACGUAUACGGUGUGACGCCUGCCCGGUGCCGGAAGGUUAAUUGAUGGGGUUAGCGCAAGCGAAGCUCUUGAUCGAAGCCCCGGUAAACGGCGGCCGUAACUAUAACGGUCCUAAGGUAGCGAAAUUCCUUGUCGGGUAAGUUCCGACCUGCACGAAUGGCGUAAUGAUGGCCAGGCUGUCUCCACCCGAGACUCAGUGAAAUUGAACUCGCUGUGAAGAUGCAGUGUACCCGCGGCAAGACGGAAAGACCCCGUGAACCUUUACUAUAGCUUGACACUGAACAUUGAGCCUUGAUGUGUAGGAUAGGUGGGAGGCUUGGAAGUGUGGACGCCAGUCUGCAUGGAGCCGACCUUGAAAUACCACCCUUUAAUGUUUGAUGUUCUAACGUUGACCCGUAAUCCGGGUUGCGGACAGUGUCUGGUGGGUAGUUUGACUGGGGCGGUCUCCUCCUAAAGAGUAACGGAGGAGCACGAAGGUUGGCUAAUCCUGGUCGGACAUCAGGAGGUUAGUGCAAUGGCAUAAGCCAGCUUGACUGCGAGCGUGACGGCGCGAGCAGGUGCGAAAGCAGGUCAUAGUGAUCCGGUGGUUCUGAAUGGAAGGGCCAUCGCUCAACGGAUAAAAGGUACUCCGGGGAUAACAGGCUGAUACCGCCCAAGAGUUCAUAUCGACGGCGGUGUUUGGCACCUCGAUGUCGGCUCAUCACAUCCUGGGGCUGAAGUAGGUCCCAAGGGUAUGGCUGUUCGCCAUUUAAAGUGGUACGCGAGCUGGGUUUAGAACGUCGUGAGACAGUUCGGUCCCUAUCUGCCGUGGGCGCUGGAGAACUGAGGGGGGCUGCUCCUAGUACGAGAGGACCGGAGUGGACGCAUCACUGGUGUUCGGGUUGUCAUGCCAAUGGCACUGCCCGGUAGCUAAAUGCGGAAGAGAUAAGUGCUGAAAGCAUCUAAGCACGAAACUUGCCCCGAGAUGAGUUCUCCCUGAC